rnacentral:rRNA from 1 species
UACGGAGGGGGCUAGCGUUGUUCGGAAUUACUGGGCGUAAAGCGCGCGUAGGCGGAUCUGCAAGUCGGGGGUGAAAGCCCGAGGCUCAACCUCGGAACUGCCUUCGAUACUGCGGGUCUCGAGUCCGGGAGAGGUGAGUGGAAUUCCUAGUGUAGAGGUGAAAUUCGUAGAUAUUAGGAAGAACACCAGUGGCGAAGGCGGGUCUCUGGGCCGAUACUGACGCUGAGGAGCGAAAGCGUGGGGAGCGAACAGG